AGAGUUUGAUCAUGGCUCAGAGCGAACGCUGGCGGCAGGCCUAACACAUGCAAGUCGAGCGCCGUAGCAAUACGGAGCGGCAGACGGGAGAGUAACACGUGGGAACGUGCCCUUCAGUUCGGAACAACCCAGGGAAACUUGGGCUAAUACCGGAUACAUCCGUAAGGAGAAAGAUUUAUCGCUGAAGGAUCGGCCCGCGUCUGAUUAGCUAGUUGGUGGGGUAAUGGCCCACCAAGGCGACGAUCAGUAGCUGGUCUGAGAGGAUGAUCAGCCUCACUGGGACUGAGACACGGCCCAGACUCCUACGGGAGGCAGCAGUGGGGAAUAUUGGACAAUGGGCGCAAGCCUGAUCCAGCCAUGCCGCGUGGGUGAUGAAGGCCCUAGGGUUGUAAAGCCCUUUCGGCGGGGAAGAUAAUGACGGUACCCGCAGAAGAAGCCCCGGCUAGCUUCGUGCCAGCAGCCGCGGUAAUACGAAGGGGGCUAGCGUUGCUCGGAAUCACUGGGCGUAAAGCGCACGUAGGCGGCUUUUUAAGUCAGGGGUGAAAUCCUGGAGCUCAACUCCAGAACUGCCUUUGAUACUGAGAAGCUUGAGUCCGGGAGAGGUGAGUGGAACUGCGAGUGUAGAGGUGAAAUUCGUAGAUAUUCGCAAGAACACCAGUGGCG
rnacentral:rRNA from 1 species